rnacentral:rRNA from 1 species
ACACGUAGGAGGCGAGCGUUAUCCGGAUUUAUUGGGCGUAAAGCGCAUGCAGGUGGCUAGGUAAGUCGGGUGUGAAAGCCCCGGACUUAAUCCGGGGAGGUCAUUCGAUACUGCUUGGCUUGAGAGCGGGAGAGGGAAGUGGAAUUCUCGGUGUAGUGGUGAUAUGCGUAGAUAUCGAGAGGAACACCAGUGGCGAAGGCGGCUUCCUGGCCCGUUUCUGACACUAAGAUGCGAAAGCGUGGGUAGCAAACGGACUUAGAUACUCCGGUAGUCCACGCCGUAAACGAUGGGUACUAGGUGUAGGGGGUGUAAAACUCUCUGUGCCACAGCUAACGCACUAAGUACCCCGCCUGGGGACUACGGCCGCAAGGUUAAA